rnacentral:rRNA from 1 species
AUUGAACGCUGGCGGCAGGCCUAACACAUGCAAGUCGAGCGAGAGGCGGACGGGUGAGUAAUGUAUGGGGAUCUGCCCGAUAGAGGGGGAUAACUACUGUAAAAGGUGGCUACUCCCGCAUACUAUCGGAUGAACCCAUAUGGGAUUAGCUAGUAGGGGGGGAAAAGGCUCACCUAGGCGACGAUCUCUAGCUGGUCUGAGAGGAUGAUCAGCCACACUGGGACUGAGACACGGCCCAGACUCCUACGGGAGGCAGCAGUGGGGAAUAUUGCGCAAUGGGCGCAAGCCUGAUGCAGCCAUGCCGCGUGAAUGAAGAAGGCCUUCGGGUUGUAAAGUACUUUCAGCGAGGAGGCGUUACUCGCAGAAGAAGCACCGGCUAACUCCGUGCCAGCAGCCGCGGUAAUAC